rnacentral:rRNA from 1 species
GCCCCUUGGAGGGGGAUAACAGUUGGAAACGACUGCUAAUACCCCAUAUUCCUUCUCUGUUAAUCAGAGUUGGGAAACGUUUUUUCGCCAAGGGAUAGGACUAUAUGAUAUCAGUUAGUUGGUGGGGUAACGGCCUACCAAGACAAUGACAUCUAGCUGGUCUGAGAGGAUGAUCAGCCGCACUGGAACUGAGACACGGUCCAGACUCCUACGGGAGGCAGCAGUGGGGAAUAUUGCACAAUGGAGGAAGCUNUGAUGCAGCAACGCCGCGUGGAGGAUGACGCAUUUCGG